rnacentral:rRNA from 1 species
GACGAACUUUUGCGGCGUGCUUAACACAUGCAAGUCGAACGGAAAGGCCCUGCUUUUGUGGGGUGCUCGAGUGGCGAACGGGUGAGUAACACGUGAGUAACCUGCCCUUGACUUUGGGAUAACUUCAGGAAACUGGGGCUAAUACCGGAUAGGAGCUCCUGCUGCAUGGUGGGGGUUGGAAAGUUUCGGCGGUUGGGGAUGGACUCGCGGCUUAUCAGCUUGUUGGUGGGGUAGUGGCUUACCAAGGCUUUGACGGGUAGCCGGCCUGAGAGGGUGACCGGCCACAUUGGGACUGAGAUACGGCCCAGACUCCUACGGGAGGCAGCAGUGGGGAAUAUUGCACAAUGGGCGGAAGCCUGAUGCAGCAACGCCGCGUGCGGGAUGACGGCCUUCGGGUUGUAAACCGCUUUCGCCUGUGACGAAGCGUGAGUGACGGUAAUGGGUAAAGAAGCACCGGCUAACUACGUGCCAGCAGCCGCGGUGAUACGUAGGGUGCGAGCGUUGUCCGGAUUUAUUGGGCGUAAAGGGCUCGUAGGUGGUUGAUCGCGUCGGAAGUGUAAUCUUGGGGCUUAACCCUGGAGCGUGCUUUCGAUUCCGGUUGACUUGAGGAAGGUAGGGGAGAAUGGAAUUCCUGGUGGAACGGUGGAAUGCGCAGAUAUCAGGAGGAACACCAGUGGGCGAAGGCGGUUCUCUGGGCCUUUCCCUGACGCUGAGGAGCGAAAGCGUGGGGAGCGAACAGGCUUAGAUACCCUGGUAGUCCACGCUGUAAACGGUGGGUACUAGGUGUGGGGUUCAUUCCACGGGUUCCGUGCCGUAGCUAACGCUUUAAGUACCCCGCCUGGGGAGUACGGCCGCAAGGCUAAAACUCAAAGGAAUUGACGGGGCCCCGCACAAGCGGCGGAGCAUGCGGAUUAAUUCGAUGCAACGCGUAGAACCUUACCUGGGUUUGACAUGGAUCGGGAGUGCUCAGAGAUGGGUGUGCCUCUUUUGGGGUCGGUUCACAGGUGGUGCAUGGCUGUCGUCAGCUCGUGUCGUGAGAUGUUGGGUUAAGUCCCGCAACGAGCGCGACCCUUGUUCACUGUUGCCAGCACGUUAUGGUGGGGACUCAGUGGAGACCGCCGGGGUCAACUCGGAGGAAGGUGGGGAUGACGUCAAGUCAUCAUGCCCCUUAUGUCCAGGGCUUCACGCAUGCUACAAUGGCUGGUACAGAGAGUGGCGAGCCUGUGAGGGUGAGCGAAUCUCGGAAAGCCGGUCUCAGUUCGGAUUGGGGUCUGCAACUCGACCUCAUGAAGUCGGAGUCGCUAGUAAUCGCAGAUCAGCAACGCUGCGGUGAAUACGUUCCCGGGGCU